rnacentral:rRNA from 1 species
UACGGGAGGGAUGCGAGUGUUAUCCGGAUUUAUUUGGGUUUUAAAAGGGUGCGUAGGCGGAAUGGUAAGUCAGUGGUGAAAUCCUGCAGCUCAACUGUAGUUGUGCCAUUGAUACUGUCAUUCUUGAGUACAGAUGAGGUAGGCGGAAUGAGUAGUGUAGCGGUGAAAUGCAUAGAUAUUACUCAGAACACCAAUUGCGAAGGCAGCUUACUAAACUGACACUGACGCUGAAGCACGAAAGCGUGGGUAUCAAGCAGG